UACGGAGGGAGCUAACGUUGUUCGGAAUUACUGGGCGUAAAGCGCACGUAGGCGGCUUUUUAAGUCAGGGGUGAAAUCCCGGGGCUCAACCCCGGAACUGCCCUUGAAACUGGAGAGCUAGAAUCUUGGAGAGGCGAGUGGAAUUCCGAGUGUAGAGGUGAAAUUCGUAGAUAUUCGGAAGAACACCAGUGGCGAAGGCGACUCGCUGGACAAGUAUUGACGCUGAGGUGCGAAAGCGUGGGGAGCAAACAGG
rnacentral:rRNA from 1 species